rnacentral:rRNA from 1 species
GAUGAACGCUGGCGGCGUGCCUAAUACAUGCAAGUCGAGCGAACAGACGAGGAGUUUGCUCCUCUGACGUUAGCGGCGGACGGGGGAGUAACACGUGGAUAACCUACCUAUAAGACUGGGAUAAUUUCGGGAAACCGGAGCUAAUACCGGAUAAUAUAUUGAACCGCAUGGUUCAAUAGUGAAAGACGGUUUUGCUGUCACUUAUAGAUGGUUCCGCGCCGCAUUAGCUAGUUGGUAAGGUAACGGCUUACCAAGGCGACGAUGCGUAGCCGACCUGAGAGGGUGAUCGGCCACACUGGAACUGAGACACGGUCCAGACUCCUACGGGAGGCAGCAGUAGGGAAUCUUCCGCAAUGGGCGAAAGCCUGACGGAGCAACGCCGCGUGAGUGAUGAAGGUCUUCGGAUCGUAAAACUCUGUUAUUAGGGAAGAACAAAUGUGUAAGUAACUAUGCACGUCUUGACGGUACCUAAUCAGAAAGCCACGGCUAACUACGUG